UACGGAGGGUGCAAGCGUUAUCCGGAUUUACUGGGUUUAAAGGGUGCGUAGGCGGAUAGGUAAGUCAGGGGUGAAAUCUUCGAGCUUAACUCGGAAAUUGCCUUUGAUACUAUCUAUCUUGAAUAUUGUGGAGGUAAGCGGAAUAUGUUAUGUAGCGGUGAAAUGCUUAGAUAUGACAUAGAACACCUAUUGCGAAGGCAGCUUACUACGCAUAUAUUGACGCUGAGGCACGAAAGCGUGGGGAUCAAACAGG
rnacentral:rRNA from 1 species